AGCGAGAGAACUGUUGUUAAGGAACUCGGCAAAAUGACCCCGUAACUUAGGGAUAAGGGGUGCCACCAUCAGGUGGCCGCAGAGAAUAGGCCCAAGCGACUGUUUACCAAACACAUAGGUUUCUGCUAAGUCGCAAGACGAUGUAUAGGAGCUGACGCCUGCCCGGUGCUGGAAGGUUAAGGGGAUCUGUUAGAGCAAUCGAAGCAGUGAACUUAAGCCCCAGUAAACGGCGGCCGUAACUAUAACGGUCCUAAGGUAGCGAAAUUCCUUGUCGGGUAAGUUCCGACCCGCACGAAAGGCGUAACGAUUUGGGCACUGUCUCAACAACAGACUCGGUGAAAUUGUAAUUCCGGUGAAGAUGCCGGAUACCUGCGACAGGACGGAAAGACCCCAUGGAGCUUUACUGUAGCUUGACAUUGGGUC
rnacentral:rRNA from 1 species